rnacentral:rRNA from 1 species
CACGUAGGAGACGAGCGUUAUCCGGAUUUACUGGGUGUAAAGCGCGUGUAGGCGGCGAGGUAAGUUGGAUGUGAAAGCUCCUGGCUUAACUGGGAGAGGUCGUUCAAGACUGCCUGGCUAGAGUGCAGCAGAGGGGAGUGGAAUUCCGAGUGUAGCGGUAAAAUGCAUAGAUAUUCGGAAGAACACCAGUGGCGAAGGCGGCUCUCUGGGCUGCAACUGACGCUUAGAUGCGAAAGCUAGGGGAGAGAACGGG